rnacentral:lncRNA from 1 species
AAUUCGAUAAGAAACAAAGUUAGAAUUGUAUGAUACUGUAAAUAAGAUAUUUAAGAAAAAGAAAGAAUCUAUCGUGAAUGUACCAAAAAUUUUAAUUAAUUUACUAUAUUCAUAAUUAUGUCAUUUGUCAUGAAUGUGUGUAACGACGCGAGUCUUGGCGCGGUGCGGUGGGACGCGAGAGCGGCCAUUGAUGCGAGUCUGGACGCGGUGCGGUGGGACGUGGGAGCAGCGAAGCACAGAGCGGCGCGACUCUCCCUCUUCCCUCCGGCCGCCGGCGCCAAUACUCGAGACAGUGGGCCGUGCUACGGCUCGAGCGGCUCGAGCUCUUCCUUCCGCGCGCUCUCAUUCGCACAAUUAAAAAAAUUAAUAUCUCGAUUAUUGGUGGACCAAACCCAAACAAUAUUGGGUAUUUAUGUUUGUCUCGAUCCCUUCUACCUCUUUACAAGCAUUGGCGUGGGUGCUUAGGGACACCCAUAUAUAUAUAUAUAUAUAUAUAUAUAUAUAUAUACACACGUGUGUGUGUGUGUGUGUGUGUGUGUGUGUGUGUGUGUGUGUGUGUGUGUGUGUGUGUGUGUGUGUUGCUAUAUAAUACAUAAACAAACAAUUUUUUAUUGUCGCCACUAAGUGUGGCUAUCAACAUCAGCGUCCAGCGUCAUGCAAGGAUAUAUUAAUUUAUAUAUAUUUAUACAGAUGUCUGAGAGCUCCGAUAACGAAGAAAUAGUUUAUCGCUUUAAAAUUGUGAGAUUUAUUAAACGUGGGAGAAAAGGUCCCACAAAAGAAAUCGAUAUUGUUCCUUCAGCUUGGAUUAGCUGGGACGAGAAAACCAAAAGAUUGACAGUUCCGUUUCUUCCUCCUCCAUAUACAAAAAAAAAGUAUUAAUGAACUUCAUGAUAUGAUGAAACAAGAAUCUGAAGCAUUAGACUCAUGGCCAUCAUACAAUAUUGACAUUAUUGGGCACGCAAAGACAUACACAGAAGCUACUGAUCGCUUGAUACUUCUUGAUCGAACCGAGACUGCUUUUUCGCAAAAUUCGGAAGACGAUGAAGAAAAAAUAAAAAAGCAGAGACAGUUUACCGUCAAAAAAAAUUUAAAAAAAAUGUAGAUGAAAUUAAAUAUCUAUUUAAUGAAAUUCCUGUGUAAAAAAUCUUGCAGUCAGUCAGAUAAACAUAAAUCUACUAUGAAGUCAAAAUCGGAGAUGAAAUUUACGGAAAAAAGUAUUAUUGCACCAGUAGCAAAAACAUCUGAACCAGAACCACAAUCAGAACUAGAAACAGAAUUAGAGAGUGAUCGAAUAGGAAUAAUUUUGCCAGAUUGCACGCAAAACAAAAAGGAUGGCUUAAACAAUCAAUCCGGGCUAUCAAAUUUUCUAUGGCCACAAGACUUGGUGAAUUGAAACGACAACACUUGGAAAAUGCACGGCGAGAAGUGUAACAGGUUUUCGUUUGUUCGGAACUAUUGAUGUAUGUCUAUAUAAUAUUAUUUUAUAGUGUUUGAUAGUACAAAUGAAACCAAAUAUAUUUAAUUAAGUAUAUAUAUUAAUAUUUACAUCAUAAAGUAAGUCGUAAUUUUAUAACUUAAGAAAUAAGACCUUUAAAUGAUUUUUGUAAAUUGCGAUAAGACCGAUUUAAACAAAUAAAAUUAACCGUGAGUUGAAAAAUAACGUGUGUAAAUAUUUUUAGAACUCUAUAUGAAGAAAAGAUAUAAUCAUAUAUGAUUAUAUCUAAUUCAAUAAAUAUUCUAUUUACAAUAAAACAAAAAAAAACAUAAUUUUAUUGUAUAAUUUGUCACGACUUUUCCUGACCGGAAAAGCGGCGGGCAAAAACAAUAAGACCGGUUGGGUAACCGAUACCCCCGAUGCCGUGCUUGUCGUGCUCGAAUCUCAGCCACACGCUAUCGCGAGAAAGUGUUGGGCGCCAGACGCGCUCGAUGACGCGUCAAUUCGCGAAAAUCGAUACGCCAAGGUGUCCUCGAUCCUCGCGCGACAAUCUCGACCAGCUCUGCCUAACGGUAGAGGGGCGGGGUGAAUCGUAAGGGAGCAGGCGACCGCGGUAACACGAAGGGGCGGACGACACACCAGAAAAUUAGACUCCGAGCUUAACAAAUAACGAACUUUAUUAAAAAUAAAUGCUGGACAGAAACAAUAAUAUCACGGGACGCGGCAUGCGGCGUUCCGACUAUGUGGCGCCCCGGCACGAAUUAAACCAAAAGAAACGCGAACGAUACGCGGGAAGCUCCCGCGUUAGGCACGCGGCCGACAAGGACGGGCGGUGGAAUCCUCCGCGCACAAUGAAUUUCGGACGUUCGCCCGUGCCGACACUCCCGGCAACUAUAGAUCCCGAUCGCGUAGUUCACGAGGGUCACACAGCAAUCGCCGCGCUUUACCCCGUCGCGAAACCGGAAGUCCCGUCCACCCGCUACUCGCGACGCGAUACUCGCUCGCGCGAGGGCUUUGCGGCGCACACGGUCGAGGGGAAUCUCCGACGGAAUCCGAGCGUCCUCCCAACCGUCCUCCCCGUGGCAGCUAAGCUACCACGUCACAAAUUAUAUAUAGUUAAAUAAUUAUAUGUGAUUAUAUAUAAUUAUAUAUGGUUAUGUGAUUAUAUAUAUAUCUAUAUAUAGAUACAUACAAUCGUGUAUAAUGCCAUUUUUUUAAUAUGAUUGUAUAUAAUGUCAAUUAUAUAUAAUCAUAUAUGAUUAUAUAUAAUUAUUUUUUCUCGGGAAGUUACCGACGGAAUCAAUUAUCGACAUUUUUAAUUCCGUUAUGACGACGCCACAGUCCCAUCGAAGUUUGCUCUUUGCUUUAGCAUCCUCUGAAAUACAAGGUUUCAAACACUCUUUACUUUUUUCAGCGAAAAACGUAAAAAGUUACCGAAUUUAUGAAUCACUUAAUAUGGUAAUAGGUUUCAGGAAGUGGUAAAAAAGUUAAAUGGUAAAAUGCUCAAAGAUUAAUAGUUUGUUAUAAAAAUCGACUUUUUUAAAUUUGUAAGGUUCAUAUGUAGAGUACUCACAACUACGCUGUCACAUGGUUCGAUGAAGCAGCGAAAAAUAAAAAUAAAAAUGAAAAUUGACUUUUACAACAAACUAUCUUUGAGCAUUUUACUAUUUUUUUUACUACUUUUCCUGAAAUCUAGUACCAUACCAAAUGGUUAAUGGAUCCAAUAAUUUUAUUAUCUUCAUGUUUUCUGUUAAUUAUUUUAAAAUGUAAGAGGUGCCUGAAGCUAGUAUUUGGCUUUCCUAAUAUAGGCA